UACGUAGGUGGCUAGCGUUGUCCGGAUUUACUGGGCGUAAAGAGCGCGCAGGCGGUCGUUCAAGUCGCGUGUGAAAGCCCCCGGCUCAACUGGGGAGGGUCACGCGAUACUGAUCGACUCGAAGGCAGGAGAGGGUAGUGGAAUUCCCGGUGUAGUGGUGAAAUGCGUAGAUAUCGGGAGGAGCACCAGUGGCGAAGGCGACUACCUGGCCUGUUCUUGACGCUGAGGCGCGAAAGCGUGGGGAGCGAACAGG
rnacentral:rRNA from 1 species